UCGCUUAACUUCGGAGUUCCCAUGGAACCCGAAGCCAGUGAGCUCCCAAAAGGCCUCGUGCUAGGUAGGGAUAGGAAUAUACAUUUAAGGAUCACUCCCCUGGGCGAUGUGGGAUGUUACACCUUCUGACUUGGUUCAGUAAAGGAUUGUACAGCAAAUGACCAGACAAUAAAGCGACAGACAGCUUGGAAGAAGUUCACAGCGAGUUAGGGCCUAGAGCAAUGGAGUUGGGACGUCUCAAAUGGGUUCUCAGCGAGUUGGCAAGGUUUGUGCAUUAUCCACUUUGGAGGCCGAGGCUGAGCUUAACAUAGUCACAAGUACUAUUCAUCUUGAUUCGCUCCCUGCUAGGCCAUUGUUUGAUCUUGGAGCUGAGAAUUCUUUUACAUCAAGUACUUUUGUUAAGUCUUUGGGUAAACCUAUUGAGACGAUGGAUGUGACAUACUCCAUUUCCUCUCAUUUUUCGAGGCCUCAUAUUGUUGACCAAGUAGUUUGAUCUUGUGAGGCUUAGGUGGAUCAGGGUGAGAUGUCAGCAGAUUUGAUGAUUAUUCUGAUGCGAGAUCUAGAUGUCAUUAUAGGCAUGGAUUACCUAUCGAUAUAUCGCGCGAAUUUCAAUUGUUUUUAGAAAGUGAUAAUUGUUCGACCACUUGACAGGCCUCCGUUUUAGUUUGCUAAAGUUCAUAAACCUGUUCCACCACCAGUAAUGGAAUCAGUUGCCAAGGCUAGACGACUCAUGAGAUACGGAUGUCAGGAUUAUUUGGCUCAUGUCAUACCCGUUGAGCAAGGAAAUAGUGAAAUUAAUGCCAUUCCAGUAGUUAGAGAAUUCCCUAACGUAUUUCUUGCAGAGUUACAUGGCUUGCAUCCAGUAAGGGAGAUUGAGUUCACUAUUGACUUUAUGCUAGAGACAACACCUAUUUCUUGGCUCAUGUCAUACCCGUUGAGCAAGGAAAUAGUGAAAUUAAUGCCAUUCCAGUAGUUGGAGAAUUCCCUAACGUAUUUCUUGCAGAGUUACAUGGCUUGCAUCCAGUAAGGGAGAUUGAGUUCACUAUUGACUUUAUGCUAGAGACAACACCUAUUUCUAAGGCUCCAUAUCGUACGGCGCCUUUGAAACUCAGAGAGCUCAAAGCGCAGUUACAGAAGUUAAUGGAUAAAGGUUUAAUUCGACCUAAUGUUUCACCUUAGGGUGCUGCCAUUCUCUUUGUGAAGAAAAAAGACAGAUCAUGUGUUUGCGCAUCAAUUAUCGUGAGCUUAAUAUGGAUAUAGAGUGAGUGCGAAAUAAGUACCCGCAAUCGAGGAUUGAUGACUUGUUUGACCAACUUCAAGGUGCUCAAUAUUUUAGUAAGCUCGAUUUGCGGAUUGGUUAUCAUCACUUGAGGAUCCAAGAUGAUGACAUACAAAAGAUAGCUUUUCUGACUUGCUAUGGUGCGUUAACGCAAAGUCUAGGCACUAAUUAUACAUGUGACAAGCCUGAGGAGAUUUACAAGAAGCCGAUAGGGGUAGCAGUGCAAAGAUCAAAGAUUUAGAGUGAUUAGGUUGCCCUUUUAUCUUUCUUUGUAUUAUUUCUUUUGGAACUUAUAUUUUGACCGCCUAUGGUCAUGUCUUGGCCCUAAUGAGGGUUGUGUAUUUUGAAUGUACAGAUUUGUAUAUAUUUUGUGGGGGAGAGUUCACUAUCGUGUUUAUUUCGUGGUAUUAGUUCUAGUAUUUCAUUUGGUAUCUUGUACGUAUGUUAAGAUGUUCGCUACGUCUCUAUGUCACGUGUCGAUCCUAGACGUAUGUCGGGAUCGAGGCGUGACAAUUAUAUGUUCAUAUUCUUUAGGAAGUACAUACUGCAGAGUUGUAAUUAGUUUCAGGUCAGGGAUUGUGAUGGGUGGAUCGAAAUUGGAAUUAUUAUAUGCUAUUUGGUUGCUUGCUUCAAAUAUGAUAAGAGCAAUGACACAAAAAAUGAAAACUCAGUCAUUGGUUUACUUUUUCCUCCUUCUCGUUUACCAGUUGAGUUGGAAGGGUAAUUGCUACUCAUUUUCUACAUUUUUAAGAUCUUAUAAAUCUUUUUCAACAUUUAUGCAUAUUUUUCUCCCAGUUUACAAUUCAGCAAAAUGAAAGUUAUAUUACCAUUUACAAUAGGAUGAAAAUAAUCACAUUAGUUAACCUUUAUUCAUACUUGGAUGCAGAUAAUUGUGAUAGAAAAGUCUAUUGUGGUUAGCUUAAUAGAAAAUGUGAUAUGAACAAUUUGAAAAGUCCACUUUCUUUCAUAUGUACGCUUUAACAUGUGUCAGUUUUAAUUAUUCAUGAGCAAAAGAAAUUUUAUUUUUCUUCUCCCGGUACACUUAAAUUCGUACAUCAACAUAUAUUUGUUUUUAACCUAUAUUAAAUAGGGAAUUGCUAUUAGCACUCCAAAAAUCUCAUUUUACACUCCAAACUUUCUAUAUUUAGAAAGAAAAAUACACUUUUGAAGAAUGUAGAACGAGAUUUUUAGAGUGUCAAUAACACUUCCCUAUUAAAUAUUAAAUGUACUUGAGUAUUCAAUUGUUUUUAGCAAUUAAGAGUCUCUUUUCAAUAAUUACACUUUUAUUCCGUCAUCUUCACUAAAAUGUCCUAGAUUUACAUUAACAACUUCUAUUUUUUAAUUUGUAACAUAGAAGCAUGCAUAUGAGGGCAAAACAAACUGUGUGUUGACCAAGGAGGUUUGAAAAAGCUGAUUAGUAUUUGUGUAAAAAUAAUAGUAAAUAUGAUUGUACAUAUAUGUGCAGAUAGAGUUGCUGUAAAUAUGUGUAAAUAGAGUUGUUGUAAUAAGUUCGAAAAGCUAAUUGAACUGCAUUCUAUAUCUGUUUCUGAUGCAAAGACAUUAUAUUUUGUGAUUGCACCGUCUAUUAAAAUGUUCUAUUUUGUUCCAUUCGUUACAUUACAUGUUACUUUGAUGUGAUGUUGUUCUCUAAAUUACAAGAAAAAUUCCACUCUUCUUUAUGAUUUGAUUUAAUUACAUGACAAAUUUUUCGACCUGUAGCAACGGACGGGCAUGAAGUCUUGUUAAAACCAAAAUCUCCCCUCAAUUGCAUUGCAGCAAAGCUACAGUGCCCCACCCCUCCCCAAGUUUAAAAUAGAGUAAUGCUUUACCAAAUCUAAUCAAAUUCUCACAAGUUUAAAUAAAA